GACGAACGCUGGCGGCGUGCUUAACACAUGAAAGUCGAACGAAGUGGCGAACGGGUGAGUAACGCGUAAUAAACCUGCCCUUCAGAGGGAGCAAACCGUUGGAAACGACUACUAAUACCGCAUACUUAAGGAGGGGAUUGAGUCUGAUUAGCUAGUGGGAGGGGUAACGGCCCACCAAGGCGACGAUCAGUAGCCGGUCUGUGAGGAUGAACGGCCACAUUGGGACUGAGACACUGCCCAGACCCCUACGGGAGGCAGCAGUGGGGAAUCUUCCGCAAUGGAUGAAAGUCUGACGGAUCAACGCCGCGUGAGUGAUGACGGCCUUCGGGUUGUAAAGCUCUGUUAAUCGGGACGCGGUACCGGAAUAGAAAGCCACGGCUAACUACGUGCCAGCAGCCGCGGUAAUUC
rnacentral:rRNA from 1 species